GUAGGGAAUAUUGGGCAAUGGAAGGAAUUCUGACCCAGCCAUGCCGCGUGCAGGAAUACAGUCCUAUGGACUUUAAACUGCUUUUAUUAUAGAGUAACCUGGGGGACGUGUCCCCCACUGCAAGUAUAUAAUGAAUAAGCAUCGGCUAACUCCGUGCCAGCAGCCGCGGUAAUACGGGGGAUGCAAGCGUUAUCCGGAUUUAUUGGGUUUAAAGGGUGCGCAGGCUGAUCGGUAAGUCAUGGGUGAAAAGUCGCUGCUUAACAGUGAUCGUGCCUAUGAUACUGCCGGACUAGAGUUUAAGAGGUGUAACUGGAAUGUGAUGUGUAGCGGUGAAAUGCUUAGAUAUGUCACAGAACGCCAAUCGUGAAGACAGGUUACAAACUUAAUACUGACGCUCAUGCACGAAAGCGUGGGGAUCAAACAGGAUUAGAAACCCCGGUAGUCC
rnacentral:rRNA from 1 species